GUGGUCUCGUGUUCUGAAUUUACCAAAUGAUGAAGCUCCGGUGAGAGCUCACCGGAGAAGAUGGCCAGAGUGUUCUAGGUCGUUUGAGUUCUCCAGACACACUAGACAUUUGAAAUGUUCUUAUUGGUUGGACUUGAAUUUGAUUUUGUGUGUUGCUUGUAGCGCGUUCCAUCGUGCAUCCUAACCUUAGGAGUGUUGGAUCUGCCAUGUCAACUAAUGAGGCAUGAUCCAACGCUCCGUGUUUUUUCUAAUUUUAAUUAUUUU
rnacentral:lncRNA from 1 species